rnacentral:rRNA from 1 species
AUUGAACGCUGGCGGCAGGCUUAACACAUGCAAGUCGAGCGGGGAAGGUUACUUCGGUAACUGACCUAGCGGCGGACGGGUGAGUAAUGCUUAGGAAUCUGCCUAUUAGUGGGGGACAACAUUCCGAAAGGAAUGCUAAUACCGCAUACGCCCUACGGGGGAAAGCAGGGGAUCUUCGGACCUUGCGCUAAUAGAUGAGCCUAAGUCGGAUUGGCUAGUUGGUGGGGUAAAGGCCUACCAAGGCGACGAUCUGUAGCGGGUCUGAGAGGAUGAUCCGCCACACUGGGACUGAGACACGGCCCAGACUCCUACGGGAGGCAGCAGUGGGGAAUAUUGGACAAUGGGCGGAAGCCUGAUCCAGCCAUGCCGCGUGUGUGAAGAAGGCCUUUUGGUUGUAAAGCACUUUAAGCGAGGAGGAGGCUCCUUUAGUUAAUACCUAAAGAGAGUGGACGUUACUCGCAGAAUAAGCACCGGCUAACUCUGUGCCAGCCGCCGCCGUAAGAC